GUCACUUGUCCUGUGUCACUCCUACCUCAGCACCCAACCGUGAUGCAAUUAGCACUUGCCACCCUCAGCUAAUUCUCACAGCCCUACAGAACAGGUAUGGUGUGUGUCCAGGUCACAAACUCCCGGCGAUCCCAAGGGAAGACGUUCCAGGGAGCUGGGCACCUGCAAUCCGCAGUGAGGAACCACAGCCUCAGGGAUAUCCGACGUUGCAAAACAUCUGUAUUUACGCCGGGCUUAAAAGAAGGGAGACCCCAUUUUGUGCACAGUUAAGGGACCCACAGCUGAGACCUACCUCGCCUGU